rnacentral:tRNA from 1 species
CCCUUAAAAGUCCCAGCGGCA